rnacentral:rRNA from 1 species
UACAGAGGUCUCAAGCGUUGUUCGGAUUCAUUGGGCGUAAAGGGUGCGUAGGCGGCGCGGUAAGUCGGGUGUGAAAUCGUCGGGCUUAACUCCGAAACUGCAUUCGAUACUGCCGUGCUUGAGGACUGGAGAGGAGACUGGAAUUUACGGUGUAGCGGUGAAAUGCGUAGAUAUCGUAAGGAAGACCAGUGGCGAAGCGGGUCUC